rnacentral:rRNA from 1 species
GGAAUCUUCCGCAAUGGGCGCAAGCCUGACGGAGCAACGCCGCGUGAGUGAGGAAGUUCUUCGGAACGUAAAGCUCUGUUGUUCCUGACGAACCUCCCUUCUAUCAACAACGGAGGGGACUGACGGUAGGGAACGAGGAAGCCACGGCUAACUACGUGCCAGCAGCCGCGGUAAUACGUAGGUCCCGAGCGUUGUCCGGAUUUAUUGGGCGUAAAGCGAGCGCAGGCGGUUUAAUAAGUCUGAAGUUAAAGGCAGUGGCUUAACCAUUGUUCGCUUUGGAAACUGUUAGACUUGAGUGCAGAAGGGGAGAGUGGAAUUCCAUGUGUAGCGGUGAAAUGCGUAGAUAUAUGGAGGAACACCGGUGGCGAAAGCGGCUCUCUGGUCUGUAACUGACGCUGAGGCUCGAAAGCGUGGGGAGCAAACA